UACGUAGGGACCGAGCGUUGUCCGGAAUCAUUGGGCGUAAAGGGUGCGUAGGCGGGUCUUUAAGUCAGGGGUGAAAUCCUGGAGCUCAACUCCAGAACUGCCUUUGAUACUGAAGAUCUUGAGUUCGGGAGAGGUGAGUGGAACUGCGAGUGUAGAGGUGAAAUUCGUAGAUAUUCGCAAGAACACCAGUGGCGAAGGCGGCUCACUGGCCCGAUACUGACGCUGAGGCACGAAAGCGUGGGGAGCAAACAGG
rnacentral:rRNA from 1 species